rnacentral:lncRNA from 1 species
GUGAGUGCUCCUUGGCUGAGGCAGUCAUGUUCUGUGGCUCUGAUGUGGCCUGUUCCUACCCUUUAAACCUCCACUGUGGCAGUACCUAGCAGUCCUCCCUCCAGCUCCGUCUCGCUGACCACUGGUCUGGUUCUCUUUCUCAGCAGGAAGAUGAAGCACCUCCCAGGCCCCCACUCCCCGAACUCUACAGCCCAGAGGACCAGCCCCCGGCUGUGCCGCCUCUGCCAAGAGAGGCCACCAUCAUCCGGCACACAUCUGUGCGGGGCCUCAAGCGGCAGUCAGACGAGAGGAAGCGAGACCGGGAGCUGGGGCAGUGUGUGAAUGGGGAUUCCAGGGUGGAGCUGCGGUCGUAUGUCAGUGAGCCUGAGCUGGCGACCCUCAGCGGGGACAUGGCCCAGCCCUCCCUAGGACUUGUGGGCCCUGAGAGCAGGUACCAGACGCUGCCAGGCAGAGGUAAGGCAGGGCCCUCCCUGGAGUUUCUCUGGGAAUCCCACCACACUGCUUCCAGCCUUCAGCUGGUGCCUCGUACCCUUCUGCCUGCAGCUCUAGGCCUAGGAGUGAGCAGCAGCUGUCAGGGGGGUCUGGGAUGCCAAGAGGGAGGACCUGGCCUGUCUUCCUCUGGCCCACAUCCUGAUUCUCUUCCUCUUUUGUUACAUCUGUCCCCAGGAACAAUGAUAAUAGCAGUUACUAGAAAGCCUGGCACUGUUUAAGCACUUUAUAUAGACAUGAUAUUCACAACAAUCCUAUGAGGAAAGUACUGUCAUCCCCAUUUUAGAGACACAGAAACUAAGGCCCAGAGAAAUUAAAUAACUUGCCAAUUAGCUGGUCAUUGGUGGAACCGGAAGACAAUCCCAGUGCUCUGGCUCCAGAGUCACUGCACCCUGUAGGCCGGAGUGCUGGGUGGCUGCCACCACCUUGGCCAUCUCAGACCUUCCAGAGUGCCACUCUAAGACUCAGUGAGCCCUUUCCUUAAAUGCUUUCUUGCCAGUUGAGUGUCCUUCUCACUGUCCUCCUCACCCCAAGUUGGGUUGUGCAGGGUGCCUAAGAAUGGAUCAGGGGGUGAAAGGCAUUCCUGCCCCGCCAGCCUUUCUACCUGCCAGGCAGCCCAGUCAUCUGCAUGUAAGGGAAGCCUGGGGUGGUCCACAGAUCUGCAGGGACACUGCCCCCCAUCAGGGACAAAGGUCACCCCUGGGCUGGCCCCCAUCCUCUAUUGGGGACCUUGCUCCUCCAUGCCCUGGGGAGGAAGAAGAGAAAUAAGGGUGGGUCAUUGACUGGGUGCUCUUGGUACUCCUGCAAGAAUGUGUGAUGAGGGAGAAGCAGGGACCCAUCCACCCCAGCACAAACAUGCUUGCACUUCUCUUUCCUCACUAAGGGCUCUCAGGGUCCACGUCAAGGCUCCAGCAGUCGUCCACCAUUGCUCCCUACGUCACACUCCGGAGGGGUCUCAAUGCCGAAAGCAGCAAGGCGACCUUCCCUGUGAGUGGCCUUGAGCUGUCGAGGACCUCCCUGCUCCUUCACAUGGGGAGGGAGGGUCUCCCAGGGGGACAGUAACUGGCCAUCCCUUCAGCCCUGGGGAUGGCCUCUGGGGUGGCCUCAGCCCCUCCUGAGCUCCCUGUCACCCACUGUCCACCAAGGAGGGCAUCCUGCCUUUCUCUCUGGCCUGUCAGGGUGGCAGGAGGGAGCUCAAGAAGCCUGCACCCUGGGUUCUGGCCUCACUGGACAGGCCUGAGCCUAAGUGUCUGCAUCUGCAGAAUGGGUGCUACUCAGAAAGCUCCUGAGGGUUGGGGGCAUCGUGUUGCUUAGAGGAAAUAGUUCUCUAAGGCCAAGAGGAGCCCAACUAGAGUGUGCAUGUGUGUGAGAGAGAGACAACGGGAAUGCAGCCAGCAGGGUGGCUGUCCUCUGCGUGCCCAGCCCAGCUGUUCUGUGUCUCUCUUGCCUGCCUCCUCUUCCUCAGAGACCUAAGAGUGCCUUGGAGCGCCUGUACUCAGGGGAUCACCAGCGAGGCAAGAUGAGUGCAGAGGAGCAGCUGGAGCGCAUGAAGCGACACCAGAAGGCCCUGGUCCGAGAGCGCAAGAGGACACUGGGCCAAGGGGAGAGGACGGGCCUGCCCUCAUCUCGCUACCUCAGCCGGCCGCUCCCUGGAGAUCUUGGCUCAGUAUGUUAGGAGGGGCCAGGCAGCGGGGCAGGGACAGGGAGCCGAGUGCCCCUCAGAGUCCCCCAAACACAAGCACAUCACACCUCCCAGUGAGAGAGCUGUCCAUUGACCUACAUGGUUCAGAGAACACCCCACGGGGCUGUUUGUCCACGACCCAGGCUGGACGAAUGCCUGGUCAGAGGGUGACCUGAACCAGAGCUGGAGUGAGGAUCAAACAGGCCCAGGAGCCUGAGGAAAUACCCAGUCAGUCCUCCCAGCCGCGAUGGAGAGGGGCCUUUGCAGGCGUUCGGAAUCUCGGCUGAAUUCAGGACCUGGGAAUACAGGGUUCAGAGAGGAGAGGAGGAAGAUGGUGACAUGAUUUGGUUAGAAGCACAAGCAAACUGAUCAGCCUCCCAGACCUGCCAGCAGAUGCUGUGUGAGGGUGAUGGAGCACGGGGUCACACCCCUGCCCCAAGGGCCACUGGUCUCCCUGGGCUUGCAGUGCAGAGGCCUCAGGGUGUCUGGGAUUGCUGGGGAGGCCUGUGCUGCCCCCUGGUGGCGCUUCCUGGCGCUGCGCCCUGUCCACAGUCACCUUAGGUCCCUUUGGAAACAUUCCAUUUGACUUUUCCCUGUUGUUUGAAAUCCCAUGUUUCCCUAAACCUCUAGCCUGAUUGUUCUUUCCCUAAUUCAUUGCACAAGCUCCUUUGCUUUUAGUGUUACCGCUCAUUGCCUCUCUAAUCCUGCCUGAUUGUGUUUACAGAAGCUUCUGAUUUGCAUUGAACAUGCUCUAACUGGCCUGUGCUACUUAUUACCGGGCUUGUAAUAGCGGUUCUUGUCUCCAUAGCCUGUUGAGUGUUCCCAGAUGUGACUCACCUUUCUGCUGCCCUCUUCAUGCAGGCCUACUGACUCAUAAUUCACUUGUCCCAAAAGCCACCCCACAAGCCUGAGCCAACCUGCUGCCUGACGCCACAGUCAUUGGCAGAGGUCUGGGCAUUAUUAAUUUAUAAAAAUCCAUGCUUUACACCUGGACAGUAGACAGGGACUUCAGAGAUUGCACGUUUGAAUACAUUCUCCCAAGACUGAGGUUGUUCGGUUUUAAUUCCUGUAGUCCAAUCACACAAUUUCUUAUGGAAAACCUUUUGUGUUUCUGGUAUUUAAUAACUUGAAGGGAUAGCAAAAUAUACUGUGUAUUCAGAGGGCCUCUCUGCAGCUGCUAGCUCAGACACCAAAGGGGUAAGGCCCAGGACAUUCAUAUCUUUAAAAGCUGCAAACCUGGUAACCUUUAAACUUUUAAAACAAAUGUCAUAUGGGGUAACACUGACCUUUUAUAAUUUGAUGUCUCAAAUGUAGAGAUUAUCUAAAAAUCGUAACUUGAAUACCUUGUAAUUUUUCUCUUAAAAAAGAAGACUUGUGUAAGUCUCUGCAUCAACGCCAAUAAACAUGUUGCUUAAUAAUAA